GGCACCUGAUCAGCCAUCCCGCGUGUGCGAUGACGGCCUUCGGGUUGUAAAGCUCUUUUGGCAGGGAAGAAACGGCUCUGGAUAAUACCUGGGGCAACGGACGGUACCUGCAGAAUAAGCACCGGCUAACUACGUGCCAGCAGCCGCGGUAAU
rnacentral:rRNA from 1 species